rnacentral:rRNA from 1 species
AUGGAGGACGUGGCCGUGGCUGCGCUCGCCACGGCGCCCACACCUGUGUUUAGCCCCGCCACGGCCGGGCUCACGCUAAUCGCCGCCGCGGCUGCGGAACCGAUUGCGGCCGUUGUGGCGGGGGCCAUGGAGGGGGUGCCGGUCAGCUUUUCAGUGCCGCCGGUCAGAACCACCACGGACGACGGGCUGCCAACAGCAACAGGAGGGGAAUGGGGAGAGGCCUCGGCAGCGGGGAGCCCGUGCUCGGUCACCAGCGACUGCAGCAGCGUGGCAAGCGCGGAUUUCGAGGGGGUGGGUCUGGGCUUCUUCGGUGCGGGGGUCGAGGGGGGCGCGGUGGUGUUCGAGGACUCGGCGGCUUCUGCGGCCACCGUCGAGGCGGAGGCGAGGGUCGCGGCCGGGGGGAGGAGCGUCUUCGCUGUCGAAUGCGUUCCGCUCUGGGGGUUUACAUCAAUUUGCGGCCGCCGCCCGGAGAUGGAGGAUGCGGUCGUCGCUGUGCCGCGAUUCUUCGGCUUGCCCCUCUGGAUGCUCACGGGCAACAAUAUGGUCGAUGGACUCGAUCCCAUCUCCUUCCGCCUCCCCGCCCACUUUUUUGGUGUAUAUGAUGGCCACGGCGGUGCACAGGUAGCAGAUUACUGUCGGGAUCGGCUCCACGCAGCGCUGGUGGAGGAGUUGAGCAGGAUAGAAGGGUCCGCUAACCUGGGAGCUGUGGAGUUCAAGAAGCAGUGGGAGAAGGCGUUUGUGGAUUGCUUCUCAAGGGUGGAUGAUGAGAUAGCCGGUAAGGCGACCAGGGGAGGAGGGGGAAACGUGGGCACAAGCAGUGUCACUGCAAUGGCCAUGGCAGAUCCUAUAGCACCUGAGACCGUCGGUUCAACGGCGGUGGUCGCUGUCAUCUGCUCAUCUCAUAUCAUUGUCUCAAAUUGUGGAGACUCGAGGGCAGUGCUCUGCCGUGGCAAGCAACCCGUGCCGUUGUCAGUGGAUCAUAAACCUAAUAGGGAGGAUGAGUACGCAAGGAUUGAGGCAGAGGGUGGCAAGGUCAUACAGUGGAAUGGCUACCGAGUUUUCGGUGUCCUUGCCAUGUCGCGAUCAAUUGGUGACAGAUAUCUGAAACCAUGGAUAAUUCCUGUCCCAGAGGUCACAAUUGUUCCUCGGGCGAAGGAUGAUGAGUGCCUUAUUCUUGCCAGUGAUGGCCUCUGGGAUGUACUGUCGAAUGAAGAGGUAUGCGAUGUUGCCCGCAAGCGAAUACUCUUAUGGCAUAAAAAGAACGGGGUAAACUUAUCAUCGGCCCAACGUAGCGGUGACUCCCCAGAUCCAGCGGCUCAAGCAGCUGCUGAAUGCUUGUCGAAGCUUGCUCUCCAGAAGGGGAGCAAGGACAACAUCACGGUUAUUGUGGUAGACCUCAAGGCGCAGAGGAAGUUCAAGAGCAAAACUUAA